UCACUACUUCAUGCUUGUGACAAAGACAUGUGCUCUCAGCUUCCUGCUCCUGCUGCCCUGCCUGCCGCUUGCUGUCAUCCUCCCGGCCAUGAUGGACUCUUAUCCCUCUGGAACCAAAGUACUUAUAAAAAUGAUGAGAGAGAGAGGAAGAAAGAGAGACUGUUGGACCCAGACAGCAAGCAGUGGUUCCCGACAGAGUCUGGAGAGAAGGCGCAGAGCAGCCUCCAGGCGGGCACCGACCUGGCUCCUGUCCACUGCCCACUGCCCACCUUCCCCAGCGGGCGCCCAGCCUUGGGGGUGCCAGCACCCCAUCAGCCACACGCGCGCAGGCUCUGCA